rnacentral:lncRNA from 1 species
AUGGAAACAAAGGAAAGAUUAAAUCUUUUAGCAGCCAGUUAUACAGACAAAUUCAUAAUGAGAUUAAACAAAACAGCUCCUCUACCUUAUGCUUGGCUGAUUUCUAAGGUCUCGAGGAUGAUUCAGGCUCUGAAGGCUCGUGCCGACCCAUUUAAGGCAGCCUGCAGGGCAUCCAGCUCACACCAGAACAAAACCGAGACUCCGGAAAAGCACAAGUGGAGCACCGGAGACCGGAGCCUUGUUCCCAACAGCGGUGUGACCUUUCUUUACUUGGUUGUUCCGCUUCCUCUUAUAAUACCCAGUCAGUUAAUCAUGAGCGCACCUGCGCUGGAUUAACGUACCACAGUCUUUCCAAAAGACUUCACACAGCCGGUUGGGCGAAAUGUGAUGUGGCAGGCCAAAAACAGGGUUUCUGCACAUGCACAGAAGUUAAGCGCCAUUUGAAAGUAGCUCUAAGAGUGAAAAAACAACAGUAUAAUGUGCGGUAUGUUCCAGGGCUGCUGUCCAGCUCUGUCUCCUUAAAUCAUUUAGUAUCGCUCCCUGGUUUGGUGCCCCUGAGAGUGAGCAAACACCUUUGGGUGUGUUCGAGCAUGUUAGUGCAUUCAUGUGCAGACACAGUAACUGCAAGUUGCUGGGUUUGUAGCCAUGUGCUUCUCCUCGCGUUCCCGCUCCUCAAACCUUGGACCACUCUGAGCGAAUGUGAGUCACCGUUGUGACGAGAUGCGAUGUGUCACCUGGGAGACACACGCAGGCGAACAAGACAGACACUAGCUGUUCACUUGGCGCAGGUCCACACGCACACUCGCAGAUACACACCAGCUUUUAAAAUGGCUGGUGAUGGAUGGUUGUUUCUUUAAAACAGCUGGAAAGAAGCAAGGGGAGUGGGAGUCAGGGAGGCAGUUGGGAAUGUCUAUUUCUGUAUGCUACCCACUGGCACCACUACAUUAACUCCUUAAUUGAAAUCCUCACUCUGGAUUUAUUUUCUUUUUUUAGGUAGCUGACUCAGAGAUCAAG